rnacentral:rRNA from 1 species
GAUGAACGCUGGCGGCGUGCCUAAUACAUGCAAGUCGAGCGAAUGGAUUAAGAGCUUGCUCUUAUGAAGUUAGCGGCGGACGGGUGAGUAACACGUGGGUAACCUGCCCAUAAGACUGGGAUAAAUCCGGGAAACCGGGGCUAAUACCGGAUAACAUUUUGAACUGCAUGGAUCGAAAUUGAAAGGCAGAUUCGGCUGUCUCUCAUGGCUGGACGCUGGUCGCAUUAGCUAGUUGGUGAGGUAACGGCUCACCACGGCAACGAUGCGUAGCCGACCUGAGAGGGUGAUCGGCCACACUGGGACUGAGACGCGGCCCAGACUCCUACGGGAGGCAGCAGUAGGGAAUCUUCCGCAAUGGACGAAAGUCUGACGGAGCAACGCCGCGUGAGUGAUGAAGGCUUUCGGGUCGUAAAACUCUGUUGUUAGGGAAGAACAAGUGCUAGUUGAAUAAGCUGGCACCUUGACGGUACCUAACCAGAAAGCCACGGCUAACUACGUGCCAGCCGCCGCGGUAA